rnacentral:rRNA from 1 species
GUGGGGAAUAUUGGACAAUGGGCGAAAGCCUGAUCCAGCCAUGCCGCGUGUGUGAAGAAGGUCUUCGGAUUGUAAAGCACUUUAAGUUGGGAGGAAGGGCAGUAAGUUAAUACCUUGCUGUUUUGACGUUACCAACAGAAUAAGCACCGGCUAACUUCGUGCCAGCAGCCGCGGUAAUACGAAGGGUGCAAGCGUUAAUCGGAAUUACUGGGCGUAAAGCGCGCGUAGGUGGUUUGGUAAGAUGGAUGUGAAAUCCCCGGGCUCAACCUGGGAACUGCAUCUAUAACUGCCUGACUAGAGUACGGUAGAGGGUGGUGGAAUUUCCUGUGUAGCGGUGAAAUGCGUAGAUAUAGGAAGGAACACCAGUGGCGAAGGCGACCACCCGGACUGAUACUGACACUGAGGUGCGAAAGCGUGGGGAGCAAACA